GGAAAGGGAGGUUGGGUCAUUGUAUAGGGACUUGUGGAAAGGAUGAGACCCUGCAGUCAGAUGAGGGACUGAAGCGGGUUUGUGGCAGGCGGGCAAAGGCUCGCGGACCGGAGAGGCGCUCGUUUUGUUGUGUCAGAGAAUGGGAGAAUGUCUCACCAUUCUGUCUGAGGUUCCAGGCUUUGAGAAUUUUAGACAGUGAGGUGAGUCCACAGCCCAGACAUGCAGCUGUCAAGCCCUGACUGCCCCAGCCCCUCUGCGUGCACUGUUGCAGGUA